CCUGGCGGGAGGGGGUCCCUGAGGGUGGGGGCACCCUCAGGGCACUAUAGUGCCAGGAAAACGAGUAUGUUUUCCUGGCACUAUAGUGGUCCUUUAAAUUAUAAAGAUUGGUACACCUGUUACCGGGAAACUGACGGAGGCCAAGCACAGAGAGAUGGACACAGGUUUCUUCAGGAAGGAAGAGAUCUUUAUUUGAUUCACUCAGAGGGACUUAUGUCACCAAAAACAGCAAAGAUCUGAGUACUGAAUACAUAGAGUACAUUUCUUAUAUAGCACUGUAUCUUCUCCCAUAAUUAGCUACGCCCACACAUACCCUUAACCUAAUCAAUGAAUAGAGUCUAAACUCAUCCAUCCGGUCUAACCACGUGGCUCAUCUGAAACAAAGGAGAGGAACGCGUAAUUCCAGUUCCUGCAUUCCUGCACAUGCUCAGUACAGUGAUGACAGUAUCUUAGCUACGUGUAACUAACUGAUACUACAAACACAUGUACCUACAUAUGCCUUGUGGCAAUCUUGGCCUGCUAAACUUGUAUUUUACUGGAAUUCCAUCACAUUCCCCCCUUUGAUGCUUCUGAUUUAAAAUAAUUCCAGAUGCAUCACCAAUCAUAGUUUGUUUACACCUCAAGUUGCC